UACGUAGGCAGCGAGCGUUGUUCGGAGUUACUGGGCGUAAAGGGUGUGUAGGCGGUUUGGUAAGUCUGGUGUGAAAUCUCCCGGCUCAACUGGGAGGGUGCGCCGGAAACUGCCAAACUAGAGUGCGGGAGAGGAAAGUGGAAUUCCUGGUGUAGCGGUGAAAUGCGUAGAUAUCAGGAGGAACACCGGUGGUGUAGACGGCUUUCUGGACCGUAACUGACGCUGAAACACGAAAGCGUGGGUAGCAAACAGG
rnacentral:rRNA from 1 species